rnacentral:rRNA from 1 species
GAUGAACGCUGGCGGCGUGCCUAAUACAUGCGAGUCGAGCGAACGGACGAGAAGCUUGCUUCUCUGAUGUUAGCGGCGGACGGGUGAGUAACACGUGGAUAACCUACCUAUAAGACUGGGAUACUUCGGGAAACCGUAGCUAAUACCGGAUAAUAUUUUGAACCGCAUGGUUCAAAAGUGAAAGACGGUCUUGCUGUCACUUAUAGAUGGAUCCGCGCUGCAUUAGCUAGUUGGUAAGGUAACGGCUUACCAAGGCAACGAUGCAUAGCCGACCUGAGAGGGUGAUCGGCCACACUGGAACUGAGACACGGUCCAGACUCCUACGGGAGGCAGCAGUAGGGAAUCUUCCGCAAUGGGCGAAAGCCUGACGGAGCAACGCCGCGUGAGUGAUGAAGGUCUUCGGAUCGUAAAACUCUGUUAUUAGGGAAGAACAUAUGUGUAAGUAACUGUGCACAUCUUGACGGUACCUAAUCAGAAAGCCACGGCUAACUACGUG